GGUAGGGUGGCCGAGAGAGAGAGGCGGUGAGCUGUAGUCUCACUUACGGAGGUGUGAUUCCACCCACUA
rnacentral:tRNA from 1 species